GUGGGGAAUAUUGGACAAUGGGGGGAACCCUGAUCCAGCCAUGCCGCGUGUGUGAAGAAGGCCUUUUGGUUGUAAAGCACUUUAAGCGAGGAGGAGGCUACCGAGAUUAAUACUCUUGGAUAGUGGACGUUACUCGCAGAAUAAGCACCGGCUAACUCUGUGCCAGCAGCCGCGGUAAUACAGAGGGUGAAAGCGUUAAUCGGAUUUACUGGGCGUAAAGCGCGCGUAGGUGGCCAAUUAAGUCAAAUGUGAAAUCCCCGAGCUUAACUUGGGAAUUGCAUUCGAUACUGGUUGGCUAGAGUAUGGGAGAGGAUGGUAGAAUUCCAGGUGUAGCGGUGAAAUGCGUAGAGAUCUGGAGGAAUACCGAUGGCGAAGGCAGCCAUCUGGCCUAAUACUGACACUGAGGUGCGAAAGCAUGGGGAGCAAACAGGAUUAGAUACCCUUGUAGUCC
rnacentral:rRNA from 1 species